AGUCACUCCAAGCAAACGAUGCGGUGACUCACUUCGAAUGGUUAUACGCAUGCGUAGGGCGUACAAAGUUACGCAAGCGUAUUGAUAUCAAAAUUAGUAAUAGCUAUGCCUAGAUUAUUUCGUUCAAGUCGCAACGCAUUUAAUUUCAUCGGUCGUCAUGGCCACCGAUCUCAAUCUCGAUCUGUUCGCCGACGUUUCCCUUCUCUCGUCGGUGGUCAUGGACCGAGCUAUGUGGCGUCCCUGGCUCCCCGGGGGGUUCGUAUGCGAGCUCUGAGACGUGUAGACAACAAGUAUGGAGCUUGUUUGUGGACGAGCUAUGAGGCACUGCUGACCACGUCAGAAGCCGAUUUGACGUCAUAUGAGAGGAGUUUGCUUGCUAGCGCGCGCGGCGUGCUAUCCUUAUUGGGGUUAGACAGUGGAAAGCGUUCGAGGAGGCGCUUAUUUUGACUUAUGUGUUGGACUUGUUGAGGACUAGAUGCAUGGAAGGUACAGCGGAAGGGUGAAUGGCAGCCAUGCUUCAAAUCAAGGGACAUCUACUUGUCCGUGUCUACGUCGAGAUGUCCAUGGAGCUGAUUUUCAUAUAAUAGAAAGACUUAAAGUGUUUCAGAUGUAACUGUAGCUGUAGCCGCAUGAAUAAUGUACAGUACAGUACAAGUUUAGUGACUCAACUGACUCUGCAUGCUUUCUUGGUCGUUGAACUACUGCUUGAUGCUUGGAAGCAUAACUUGGAA